rnacentral:tRNA from 1 species
GCUCUCUUAGUAUUNNCAAUCAGUACAGCUGACUUCCAAUCAGUUAGUCCUAGAGANUAACCUAGGAGAGAGUA